rnacentral:rRNA from 1 species
AUACGGAGGAUCCGAGCGUUAUCCGGAUUUAUUGGGUUUAAAGGGUGCGCAGGCGGGAGAUUAAGUCGGCGGUGAAAUUUUGCAGCUCAACUGUAAAAGGGCCUUCGAAACUGGUUUUCUUGCGUGUAGAUGAAGUAGGCGGAAAUUGCGGUGUAGCGGUGAAAUGCAUAGAUAUCACGAGGAACUCCGAUUGCGCAGGCAGCUUACUAAACUAGUACUGACGCUCAGGCACGAAGGCGUGGGGAUCAAACAGGAUUAGAUACCCUGGUAGUCCACGCAGUAGACGAUGAUUACUAGCUGUUUGCGAUACAAUGUAAGCGGCUGAGCGAAAGCGUUAAGUAAUCCACCUGGGGAGUACGUUCGCAAGAAUGAAACUCAAAGGAAUUGACGGGG